ACAGCAGUAGCCGCGGUAAUACAGAGGAUGCAAGCGUUAUCCGGAAUGAUUGGGCGUAAAGCGUCUGUAGGUGGCUUUUCAAGUCCGCCGUCAAAUCCCAGGGCUCAACCCUGGACAGGCGGUGGAAACUACCAAGCUGGAGUACGAUAGGGGUAGAGGGAAUUUCCGGUGGAGCGGUGAAAUGCGUUGAGAUUGGAAAGAACACCAACAGCGAAAGCACUCUGUUGGGCCGACACUGACACUGAGAGACGAAAGCUAGGGGAGCAAAUGGGAUUAGAUACCCGCGUAGUCCCUGUCUCUUAUAC
rnacentral:rRNA from 1 species